AGAGUUUGAUCCUGGCUCAGGACGAACGCUGGCGGCGUGCCUAACACAUGCAAGUCGAGCGGGGAGGAGGAAGCUUGCUUCCGAAUCCUAGCGGCGGACGGGUGAGUAACGCGUGAGCAACCUGCCUCAAACAGGGGGAUAACGCAUCGAAAGAUGUGCUAAUACCGCGUAAGACCACGGUGUCGCAUGACACAGAGGUCAAAGGAGGAAUCCGGUUUGAGAUGGGCUCGCGUCCGAUUAGCUAGUUGGUGAGAUAACAGCCCACCAAGGCGACGAUCGGUAGCCGACCUGAGAGGGUGAUCGGCCACAUUGGAACUGAGAGACGGUCCAGACUCCUACGGGAGGCAGCAGUGGGGAAUAUUGGGCAAUGGGCGAAAGCCUGACCCAGCAACGCCGCGUGAGGGAAGAAGGGUUUCGGCUCGUAAACCUCUGUCCUAUGGGACGAAGAGAGUGACGGUACCAUAGGAGGAAGCCCCGGCUAACUACGUGCCAGCAGCCGCGGUAAUACGUAGGUUGCAAGCGUUGUCCGGAUUUACUGGGUGUAAAGGGCGUGUAGGCGGAGAUGCAAGUCAGGAGUGAAAUCCCGGGGCUCAACCCCGGAACUGCUUUUGAAACUGUAUCCCUUGAGUGUCGGAGAGGCAAGCGGAAUUCCUAGUGUAGCGGUGAAAUGCGUAGAUAUUAGGAGGAACACCAGUGGCGAAGGCGGCUUGCUGGACGAUAACUGACGCUGAGGCGCGAAAGCGUGGGGAGCAAACAGGAUUAGAUACCCUGGUAGUCCACGCUGUAAACGAUGAAUACUAGGUGUGGGAGGACUGACCCCUUCCGUGCCGCAGUUAACACAAUAAGUAUUCCACCUGGGGAGUACGGCCGCAAGGCUGAAACUCAAAGGAAUUGACGGGGGCCCGCACAAGCAGUGGAUUAUGUGGUUUAAUUCGACGCAACGCGAAGAACCUUACCAGGACUUGACAUCCAACUAACGAAGUAGAGAUACAUUAGGUGCCCUUCGGGGAAAGUUGAGACAGGUGGUGCAUGGUUGUCGUCAGCUCGUGUCGUGAGAUGUUGGGUUAAGUCCCGCAACGAGCGCAACCCCUAUUGUUAGUUGCUACGCAAGAGCACUCUAGCGAGACUGCCGUUGACAAAACGGAGGAAGGCGGGGACGACGUCAAAUCAUCAUGCCCCUUAUGUCCUGGGCUACACACGUAAUACAAUGGCCGUCAACAAAGGGAAGCAAAGCCGCGAGGUGGAGCAAAUCCCCAAAAACGGUCUCAGUUCGGAUUGCAGGCUGCAACUCGCCUGCAUGAAGCUGGAAUUGCUAGUAAUCGUGGAUCAGCAUGCCACGGUGAAUACGUUCCCGGGCCUUGCACUCACC
rnacentral:rRNA from 1 species